rnacentral:rRNA from 1 species
GAAUCCCGUCUUUGGCAUGGAUGACCGGGGCUUUUGUGAUGCGCUCUCGAAGAGUCGAGUUGUUUGGGAAUGCAGCUCAAAAUGGGUGGUGAACUCCAUCUAAAGCUAAAUAUUGGCGAGAGACCGAUAGCGAACAAGUACCGUGAGGGAAAGAUGAAAAGCACUUUGGAAAGAGAGUGAAACAGUACGUGAAAUUGUUGAAAGGGAAACGCUUGAAGUCAGUCGCGUCGACCAAGACUCAGCCUCGCCUCGGCUUGGUGUAAUUCUUGGCCGACGGGUCAGCAUCAAUUUUGUCCUUUGGAUAAUGACGAGGGAAAGGUAGCACCUUUGCGGGUGUGUUAUAGUCUCUCGUCGGAUACGAGGGUCGGGAUUGAGGAACUCAGCAUGCGCCUUUUGGCGUCGGGGCUUCGGCCUACGUUUACGUGCUUAGGAUGCUGGCAUAAUGGCUUUAAACGACCCGUCUUGAAACACGGACCAAGGAGUCUAACAUGCCCGCGAGUGUUCGGGUGGAAAACCCGUGCGCGUAAUGAAAGUAAAAGUUGGGACCCUUGUCGUGAGGGGCACCGACGCCCGGACCAGACCUUCUGUGACGGAUCUGCGGUAGAGCGUGUAUGUUGGGACCCGAAAGAUGGUGAACUAUGCUUGAAUAGGGUGAAGCCAGAGGAAACUCUGGUGGAGGCUCGUAGCGAUUCUGACGUGCAAAUCGAUCGUCAAAUUUGGGUAUAGGGGCGAAAGACUAAUCGAACCAUCUAGUAGCUGGUUCCUGCC